rnacentral:rRNA from 1 species
UUGAACGCUGGCGGCAUGCUUUACACAUGCAAGUCGAACGGCAGCGGGGGCUUCGGCCUGCCGGCGAGUGGCGAACGGGUGAGUAAUACAUCGGAACGUGCCCGACCGUGGGGGAUAACGCAGCGAAAGCUGUGCUAAUACCGCAUACGAUCUACGGAUGAAAGCGGGGGACCUUCGGGCCUCGCGCGAUUGGAGCGGCUGAUGUCGGAUUAGCUAGUUGGUGGGGUAAAGGCCUACCAAGGCGACGAUCCGUAGCUGGUCUGAGAGGAUGAUCAGCCACACUGGGACUGAGACACGGCCCAGACUCCUACGGGAGGCAGCAGUGGGGAAUUUUGGACAAUGGGCGCAAGCCUGAUCCAGCCAUGCCGCGUGAGUGAAGAAGGCCUUCGGGUUGUAAAGCUCUUUCAGACGGAAAGAAAUCGGGCGCGUGAAUAGCGUGCCUGGAUGACGGUACUGUCAGAAGAAGCACCGGCUAACUACGU